UAAGGGUAGACAGGCUGUACCACUCCCGGCAUACCACUAGAGAGAGCCAACACACCACAAAUGAAGUCUGUUUAUUUGGCGCCAAAAGAUGAAUUGGCCUAAAUUUGCACUAAAAUAUUAAUAUUUAAAAAACUAUAAAAGUCAUGAACACCAAAAGUCAUGACAUAAUAGUCCAGCUCCAGCCGCACAAAAUGAUCUAACAUAUGUAACCCUAAUGUCAAAACUGUUCGGCAGAGGAGCGCGGGAAAAUUUUCACUAAAAUAUUAAUAUUUAAAAAACUAUAAAAUUCAUAAAGACCAAAAGUCAUAGCACACCAUUCCAGAUCCGGCCGCACAAAAUGAGGUAACAUAUAUGAAGCUUGUCUCAAAACUGCGGGGCGAGAUUCGCUGCAAAAUUUCAGGCGGAAACUGGAGAAUAAUAAUAAUAAUAAUAAUAAAUCCGAGGAAUAGUAAUAUGUGUGCCUCUUGGCAUAGGCACACAUAACUAGAAAGCGAAAAUUUCAGAAGAAAUUUUAAGUGUGCCUAUGCUACUGCCAAUGAGUGUAGUUUGCCUUUAAUGUGGUUCAAUUAGUGCCGGUUGCCAUUUAUAACACUAGAGGGAGCAAGAUGCAACAUGAGCAUAGUUUGCUUUUUAUACUACAAGAAGGAGGGAAAUGGAAUACAGCUGAUUUUCAACUUAAAGCAAAGUAAGCUGUAUUGUGAUCUCUGUUAUAUGCGGCAUACAGAGAUGAGAGAAAGAUGCUCCAGUUACAUGAUUACAAAAUAAAUUAUGCUUUAGUGUCAGGUGUUCAAGAGAAGUUACAAUUUAGAUUUUACAGUUUUGAGUCGUUUAAAGUGGUAGAAAAAAAAGAUGUCCAUUAAGCGGUAUUCAAUUUGUAUUUCAAAUUAUGAAAUUUCUCGUUGUGGGACUAAUAAAUGUAUCAUGUUAUUCAAACAAUAUUUUGUACAGAUACCAUUUACAAUAAUGUAUGACAUUUAAACAUGAUAUUUAGAUUGUGGUAAAUAGCAAAGCAAUAUAAAAUAAAAAAGGAAAAGGAAACCAUUCAAGUAACUUUAUAUUAUGAACUGAAGAGUAAGGCAAAAGUAUAAAUGAAAAGCAUACAAGCAUUAAUGUAUAUAGAUAAACCCAACAAUCAUAUGACCCCCUAUGAGCAAGCACUUUGGCGACAGUGGGAAGGAAAAACUCCCUUUUGACAGGAAGAAACCUCCGGCAGAACCAGGCUCAGGGAGGGGCGGCCAUCUGCCGCGACCGGUUGGGGUGAGAUGUAAACAAAUCCAAAACUGUCCACAGAGCUACAGGGGGCACACUGGGAUCGCAACAGCAGCCAUAGAGGGAAACCGAUUAGGAUGUUCUUCCCAGUACUGAAGUGGGUCGGCUUUUCUUAUGUG
ensembl:lncRNA